GUCAUCGUCUGGAGAUCUGGGCUGGUGCCAGAAACCACCAAAUCCCAUCAAGUUCUGCAACCAACUUGAGUUAAUGGAAGACACUGAGAGGAAAACAGUUAACUCCUGUCAAUUCUGGAUUUGCACUGGCUGAUUUACCAGUCCCUAAGGGAGAUAGAGCCAGAAUCUGGAUCGGACACCCUAAAUGGAGCAGGAGAUGCUUCGAGCAGCCAGUGUGAAAGGAGGCAAAAAGCCAAGUGGCAGGAUAUCUGCUGAGAAAGCUGAGAAGACGACAGUCUCACAGGAGAAAAUGGA